UGGGGAAUAUUGCACAAUGGGCGCAAGCCUGAUGCAGCAACGCCGCGUGAACGAUGAAGGUCUUCGGAUCGUAAAGUUCUGUUGCAGGGGAAGAUAAUGACGGUACCCUGUGAGGAAGCCCCGGCUAACUACGUGCCAGCAGCCGCGGUAAUACGUAGGGGGCUAGCGUUGUCCGGAAUCACUGGGCGUAAAGGGUUCGCAGGCGGAAUAACAAGUCAGAUGUGAAAGGCAUGGGCUCAACCCAUGUAAGCAUUUGAAACUGUAAUUCUUGAGAAGUGGAGAGGUAAGUGGAAUUCCUAGUGUAGCGGUGAAAUGCGUAGAUAUUAGGAGGAAUACCUGUGGCGAAGGCGACUUACUGGAAACAAAUCUGACGCUGAGGAACGAAAGCGUGGGUAGCAAACAGG
rnacentral:rRNA from 1 species